rnacentral:rRNA from 1 species
UUAAAAACAUGUCUUGUUGAUUAUAAUUUCAAGUCUGACCUGCCCAAUGAGGAAUUUAAUGGCUGCGGUAAAUUGACCGUACAAAGGUAGCAUAGUCAUUAGUUUUUUAAUUGAAAGCUUGUAUGAAAGGUUUGAUGAAAAAAAGGCUGUCUCUGUAGAAAUUUAAUUGAAUUUUAUUUUUAAGUGAGAAAGCUUAAAUUUUGGUAAAAGACGAGAAGACCCUAUAGAGUUUUAUAAUACUUUUUAUAUAUAUAUAUCAAGUUAAGAAAAAUUGUAUAUAAGAAGGAAUUAUUUCGUUGGGGAGAUGAAAAAAUUAAUAAAACUUUUUUUUUACUUAAAUCAUUCAUUUAUGUAUAGUUGAGCCCAGGGUUUGGAUAAAAAGAUUAAAUUACCUUAGGGAUAACAGCGUAAUCUUUUUGAGAGUUCUUAUCGGAAAAAGGGAUUGCGACCUCGAUGUUGGAUUAAAAUGAAUACUUGGUGCAGGAGCUAAGUGGGCAGGUCUGUUCGACCUUUAAAAUUUUACAUGAUCUGAGUUUAAACC